AGUGAACGCUGGCGGUAGGCCUAACACAUGCAAGUCGAACGGCAGCACAGUAAGAGCUUGCUCUUACGGGUGGCGAGUGGCGGACGGGUGAGGAAUACAUCGGAAUCUACUUUUUCGUGGGGGAUAACGUAGGGAAACUUACGCUAAUACCGCAUACGACCUACGGGUGAAAGCAGUGGAUCUUCGCACCUUGCGCGAUUGAAUGAGCCGAUGUCGGAUUAGCUAGUUGGCGGGGUAAAGGCCCACCAAGGCGACGAUCCGUAGCUGGUCUGAGAGGAUGAUCAGCCACACUGGAACUGAGACACGGUCAAGACUCCUACGGGAGGCAGCAGUGGGGAAUAUUGGACAAUGGGCGCAAGCCUGAUCCAGUCAUACCGCGUGGGUGAAGAAGGCCUUCGGGUUGGAAAGCCCUUUUGUUGGGAAAGAAAAGCAGCAGGUUAAGACCCCGCUGUUCUGACGGUACCCAAAGAAUAAGCACCGGCUAACUUCGUG
rnacentral:rRNA from 1 species